CUGACCACAUUGUUGGAAACUGGAACAAAGCCCAGAUAAAUUCAUCCAUUAUAAGGAUAGUUGUGCAUUCAUUUUCACAUUUCAUGUAAAAAUUACCUGAAUACAACUUGCAAUAUGGCGUUCGGAAAAAUUCUAUUGCUUUGCGCAGUGUUAGUGCUUGCAAGCGCUGCGGAAAACAAAAAUCAACCCAGAGGAUCUGAUGAGAACAACUGCAAUCUACCCUUGGAAUUUACCCACGAAUCAUUUUUUGAUCCUACGUUCGUAAAUGAGCCAAAAAAUGAUGAUGCUUUCGAUGAGGUUUUCUACACAUUUAAACUUCCUUCAAAUAUAACAAACUACAAUCUGGAUGUGUAUCAUGGUGUUAACUAUAUCAGUGCUGAAGUAAUUGAUAAAGAAGUUAUUUUCAAACCUACGGAAAACUUCAGAAAUUUCGAGUACAAGGAAAUCCAUGAUGAACCCGCUCGUAUAGAGUUUCUUUUGCCUUUUGAGUGCUAUGUAGAUGAAAAUGAUUACGAAAACAAAACUCAGUUCUAUUUCGUGCAACCCAUAACGGAUGUUAACAAUCAUGAGCCGAUGUUUAACCGGAAAGAGUAUCAAUAUCACUUUGGAAUGCCUAUCAAAGCAGGAGCCCUGCUUACCAACAUUUUGAAAUUUAUGCAGUGGAUGUUGACUAUACCAACACCAAAGUAGAAUUUUCUAUUGAUGUCAACGAUUAUAUUGAGAUUAGCUAUAAAGGAACAGAAUACCUAAACCGGAAAAUUCACUAUGCCACUUUAACCACCAAGAAAGACAUUCCAGCAAAGCAAAAUAUGGUAUUGACUAUUAAAGUCACCGAUAUGGGUACACCUAAGCUUGAAAGCACAGCUCUGGUCAAGAUUGUUAUUGAUUAAAUACACAAAUGUUUAACAAGUGGCAUAAUAAAAUGACUUAACUGCA